GAGGGUAUAGCUCAAAUGGUAGAGAGUGUGCUUAGGACGCACAAGGUCCUGAAUUCAAUCCCCAGUACCUCCA
rnacentral:tRNA from 1 species